UACGGAAGGCAGCAGUGGGGAAUAUUGCACAAUGGGCGAAAGCCUGAUGCAGCUAUGCCGCGUGUAUGAAGAAGGCCUUAGGGUUGUAAAGUACUUUCAUCGGGGAGGAAAAAACAAAACUAAUAAUUUUAUUUCUUGACGUUACCCGAAAAAGAAGCACCGGCUAACUCCGUGCCAGCAGCCGCGGUAAUACGGAGGGUGCUAGCGUUAAUCAGAAUUACUGGGCGUAAAGAGCACGUAGGUGGUUUUUUUAAAGUCAGAUGUGAAAUCCCUGGGCUUAACCCAGGAACUGCAUUUUGAAACUGAAAUACUAGAGUAUCGUAGAGGGAGGUAGAAUUCUAGGUGUAGCGGUGAAAUGCGUAGAUAUCUGGAGGAAUACCUGUGGCGAAAGCGGCCUCCUAAACGAAUACUGACACUGAGGUGCGAAAGCGUGGGGAGCAAACAGGGAUUAGAUACC
rnacentral:rRNA from 1 species